GACGAACGCUGGCGGCGUGCUUAACACAUGCAAGUCGAACGGAAAGGCCCUGCUUUUGUGGGGUGCUCGAGUGGCGAACGGGUGAGUAACACGUGAGUAACCUGCCCUUGACUUUGGGAUAACUUCAGGAAACUGGGGCUAAUACCGGAUAGGAGCUCCUGCUGCAUGGUGGGGGUUGGAAAGUUUCGGCGGUUGGGGAUGGACUCGCGGCUUAUCAGCUUGUUGGUGGGGUAGUGGCUUACCAAGGCUUUGACGGGUAGCCGGCCUGAGAGGGUGACCGGCCACAUUGGGGCUGAGAUACGGCCCAGACUCCUACGGGAGGCAGCAGUGGGGAAUAUUGCACAAUGGGCGGAAGCCUGAUGCAGCAACGCCGCGUGCGGGAUGACGGGCUUCGGGUUGUAAACCGCUUUCGCCUGUGACGAAGCGUGAGUGACGGUAAUGGGUAAAGAAGCACCGGCUAACUACGUGC
rnacentral:rRNA from 1 species